AAGGCUCAAUAGAUUACCCUGAAUGCGCCUGAUCUCGUCUGAUCUCGGAAGCUAAGCAGGGUCGGGCCUGGUUAGUACUUGGAUGGGAGACUUAACCAUUUUUAAUGUCUGUGAGUAUUU
rfam:Mesocricetus auratus contig065924, whole genome shotgun sequence.